GGAUGUUUGGUUGCACUGUUAAAAAGCCAAAAAGGACUUCUGGUUCACUUAAAGCGAUUUUGGGUUGUUUGGUUCUCUCCCAACGUGAUGACGAUGUCGUACGGUUCCCUGCUCAAAAUCAAUUCUAGGUGAAGCUGCUAUUCCUAGCUUCUGAAAAUCGAUUCUUCAACUGCAGGAAAAGGAACACAAGUAAAUGGCCAAAUAGUUGCAGUGUUUGGUACUCAAGGUAGCCAAAUCUCAUUGCAAAAUGAACUAUUGGAAUGAAGAAUCAAAUGAAGACGAUGAUUGUUGUAAUAUUUCAAAUUUGUAUUGCACUUAAUAUUAUAUUAUCCAUUUGUAAUUUUAAUGAGUACUUCAUGUUUAAUAUAUAUUCCCUACAUGUAUUUUUAUUUGAAUAUUGUGUGAUUAACAAUAAUAUUAAUCUAGUAAUUUUAUUGUCAA